rnacentral:rRNA from 1 species
GAUCCUGGCUCAGGAUGAACGCUGGCGGCGUGCUUAACACAUGCAAGUCGAACGAAGCACUUUAUUACAAUUUCUUCGGAAUGACGAUUUAGUUGACUGAGUGGCGGACGGGUGAGUAACGCGUGGGUAACCUGCCUUAUACAGGGGGAGUAACAGUUAGAAAUGACUGCUAAUACCGCAUAAGCGCACAGGAUUGCAUGAUCUGGUGUGAAAAACUACCGGUGGUAUAAGAUGGACCCGCCG